rnacentral:sRNA from 1 species
CAAAGAUCUUUGUUCCAUCACAUCUUCUUCAUCAUCAUUAUCA